AACAAUUAUAAAGUUCUUUUGUUGAACCUCUGAUUUAGUGUAUACAAAUAUCUACAUAUGUACAUAUGUUUAAUUUUUGAAUGAUGAAUUGAGUUUUUAACUAGGUUUUUUGCGCUUAAAUUAUCGCCAUAAAUUACAGUUUACAUUUUAAAUAAAAUGUUUCUUCGCAAUAAUCAAUAUCAGAUACAUUUGAGCGUCUGUGACCUUCUUCAAGCAAUUUUGCUUUAAGAUCUAAAGAUCAGGUAAAGUAUCUCUGGAUUCAAUUGCAAUGACAAAAUUUUCGAACGAGUUUGGUAAACCAGACAACAUCACGAUUGAAAUCAAUUCUUCUGAAACAGUUUCUAAUAGCCUCAAAUUCAGAAGUUCUUUAAACAAACUUACCUUACGUAUUGGGCCACUUGGCUGAUGUAUUAGUUCUAGUUGUAAACCAGAUGGAAAAUUUGAAAAAACUUUUAAAAACCUUAUAAAUACG